UACGUAGGGGGCGAGCGUUGUCCGGAUUUAUUGGGCGUAAAGAGCUCGUAGGCGGUUCGGUAAGUCGGAUGUGAAAUCUCCACGCUCAACGUGGAGGGGCCAUUCGAUACUGCCGUGACUCGAGUCCGGUAGGGGAGUGUGGAAUUCCCGGUGUAGCGGUGAAAUGCGCAGAGAUCGGGAGGAACACCCGUAGCGAAGGCGGCGCUCUGGGCCGGUACUGACGCUGAGGAGCGAAAGCGUGGGGAGCGAACAGG
rnacentral:rRNA from 1 species